GAGUCACCAGCACGCAGGAGAAGAGGGCGAAGCGGCCACCCGCGUUCUGUGUUCGGAGUCAGGACGAGAAGCAUUGGGUGGGAGCAGGGCGAGGGGCUCGAGUUGGGUCUGCAGCGGGCACAGGACCUAGUUUUGUACAGUUAACGGUGGGGUUGAGUAAAGAGGGGGGCGGUGGGGAGGAUGUAAGCUCCCUUUAUUCCUUUCCCAGCGGACCAGGAGGAAGCUUCGUUGAAUUGAGCGCCCCUGGCUCGUAUAGCAGGCCGAGGAGGGAGCUCAUGGGCAGCGUUGGCUAAGAGUUCGAGAUCAUCUAGAAAUGUCAGAAACGUAGGUUGGGUCGUGAGGUCUCUGAAGACAGUGGGUGAAACUCCAGUGUAAGGCGCUGCGUCCGCUUGGUAGAGAGCCGGCCGAAGUCCGAGUCUUUGUUGCGAGGCGUAGGGCCACCCUGCGCGCCCAGCAGAAGCGCUAGAGGGCACGGUUGCCCGGGGUGAACCGCAUGUCCAAAUGUAACUGUGUGCUCCGAGUUAAAAUUGUUUUUCUGCAGACUUUGCUUGAGCCAACGAUUCCGGAAUUGGGGAAAGGGUUACCUUAGGUAGAAAUCGGAAAUUUAUAGGAGACACAGAGGUAAGGACCAACUGUUAGGACUGAGUGAAAAAUGGUUCCCUCCAACUGUAAAAGUGGAAAAAAAAAUACCUAUCUUAUAGGUGGGGCAGUGAGGAGUAAAUGAGUUUAAUAUAUUUCAAGCUUUUAAAACAACCUCGCCCAUCAUAAGCACUGUUUAAACAUUAGCUCUUAUCUUUUAAAAAUAUUAGUGGAUGUUUAAAAUGAAUGAAUACAAUUUGUCCAAGAAAUAUGGCGUAAGAGCCCAGAAGAAAUAAAGUUUAAUCUUACAAAGGGCUUCUGUAGAAAGAAUACAUGCAUGGAAUUGAUGGAAUUUGGUAUAAAUCUUGAAAAAACUUAAUAGGUGUAUUCAAUCGUUCAGUAAAUGUUUCCUGAGCAUUUAUCAUGUGUCAGCUACUGUUGGAGCUCUGAGAAUGGUUCUCAUGCAGUUUACAUUCUAGUAAGAGAGCAAGGCCCAAUAACCAAGCACUCGUGGGAGAAGAAGGAUUUCAGAUACCACGGGGUGGGCAGGCAUUAUAGCAGGAGCUAAAAAGCACAGAGUGAAAGCAUGUAUUCUGGGAUUGCAUUGGGACUUGGAGGGGAUAUAACGGGAGUGUAGGGGUGUGGCGUUAGCACAAGGGGAGCCUCAACUGGCUUAAUAAGACAUUUACCUCAAUGAUAGGGGUAAACCACUGUAGGGUUUUGUUUGUUUUUUUAAGAACACACAACAACACUAGGUUUUGU
rnacentral:lncRNA from 1 species